rnacentral:rRNA from 1 species
AACGUAGGAGACAAACGUUAUCCGGAGUUACUGGGCGUAAAGGGCGUGUAGGUGGUUUCGUAAGUCUGGCGUGAAAUUUCUCGGCUUAACCGAGGCAGGUCGUCGGAUACUGCGGAACUUGAGGACGGUAGAGGCGUGUGGAAUUCCGGGUGUAGUGGUGAAAUGCGUAGAGAUCCGGAGGAAGACCGGUGGCGAAGGCGGUCUGCUGGGCAGUUUCUGACACUGAUGCGCGACAGCGUGGGGAGCAAACAGG